GUGAAGGUUUCAUUUGACUUGAACAACAUACAGAUCAAAUAUGUUGAUGAGGAUAAUGAUGAG
ensembl:misc_RNA